rnacentral:rRNA from 1 species
CUCCUACGGGAGGCAGCAGUGGGGAAUAUUGGACAAUGGGGGGAACCCUGAUCCAGCCAUGCCGCGUGUGUGAAGAAGGCCUUAUGGUUGUAAAGCACUUUAAGCGAGGAGGAGGCUACUUUAGUUAAUACCUAGAGAUAGUGGACGUUACUCGCAGAAUAAGCACCGGCUAACUCUGUGCCAGCAGCCGCGGUAAUACAGAGGGUGCAAGCGUUAAUCGGAUUUACUGGGCGUAAAGCGCGCGUAGGCGGCUAAUUAAGUCAAAUGUGAAAUCCCCGAGCUUAACUUGGGAAUUGCAUUCGAUACUGGUUAGCUAGAGUGUGGGAGAGGAUGGUAGAAUUCCAGGUGUAGCGGUGAAAUGCGUAGAGAUCUGGAGGAAUACCGAUGGCGAAGGCAGCCAUCUGGCCUAACACUGACGCUGAGGUGCGAAAGCAUGGGGAGCAAACAGGAUUAGAUACCCUGGUAGUCCAUGCCGUAAACGAUGUCUACUAGCCGUUGGGGCCUUUGAGGCUUUAGUGGCGCAGCUAACGCGAUAAGUAGACCGCCUGGGGAGUACGGUCGCAAGACUAAAACUCAAAUGAAUUGACGGGGGCCCGCACAAGCGGUGGAGCAUGUGGUUUAAUUCGAUGCAACGCGAAGAACCUUACCUACUCUUGACAUCCAGAGAACUUUCCAGAGAUGGAUUGGUGCCUUCGGGAACUCUGAGACAGGUGCUGCAUGGCUGUCGUCAGCUCGUGUUGUGAAAUGUUGGGUUAAGUCCCGCAACGAGCGCAACCCUUAUCCUUUGUUGCCAGCGGUUAGGCCGGGAACUCAAAGGAGACUGCCAGUGAUAAACUGGAGGAAGGUGGGGAUGACGUCAAGUCAUCAUGGCCCUUACGAGUAGGGCUACACACGUGCUACAAUGGCAUAUACAAAGAGAAGCGACCUCGCGAGAGCAAGCGGACCUCAUAAAGUAUGUCGUAGUCCGGAUUGGAGUCUGCAACUCGACUCCAUGAAGUCGGAAUCGCUAGUAAUCGUGGAUCAGAAUGCCACGGUGAAUACGUUCCCGGGCCUUGUACACACCGCCCGU